rnacentral:misc_RNA from 1 species
UUGGGGGGGGGUCUCCCGGCGACGGCCCCUCAGUAGGCGUGGUUGGAGAUGAAGAGGGAUUCGCUGGCGGCCGCCCCCGCGUGGCCGCUGGGGGUGUAUUUCCCUUGGCAUGCCAGGGAGUUGGCCAAGGCCCUCUUGACGUACUCCUCCUGGGCCGCCUUGGUGUUCUCCUUCUUGCCGCUCCAGGCCUUGAGGGCCGAGGCCUGCAGCGCCCGCCCGUAGGAGAAGGUGAGGGCCCACGGCCGGUGAAGCGGGCAGCGGUUGAUGGCGUUCAGGUUGACCGAGGCCUCCUCCUCACUUUGGCCUCCGGAGAGGAAGGUGAUGCCAGGCACUGCGGGGGGGACGGUGCGGCGCAGGGCGGUGACGGUGGCCAUGGCGAUCUCUUCGGGGCUGUACUUCUUGGUGCACGAAUGGCCCGCGGUCACCAUGUUGGGUUUGAGCAAAGUGCCCUCCAGGUAAAUGUGGUGGUCGCUCAGGGCUUUGUACACCGCUGCCAGGACCUUCUCAGUGACGUAUUGGCAGCGUUUGAGGUCGUGGUCACCGUCAGGGAGGAUUUCGGGCUCCACGAUGGGGACAAUGCCGUUCUGCUGGCAGAUGCUGGCGUAUCGUGCCAGGACGUUGGCGUUCUCCAUGAUGGCCAGGCGGGACGGGGUGUGCUCCGAGAUCUUCAGCACGCAGCGCCACUUGGCAAAGUCAGCCCCGUCCUUCUUGUACUGAGCGCAGCGCUCCAUCAGCCCGUCCAGCCCCUGGGUGGUGGUCUCCCCAUUGGUGCCAGCCAGGGGCACAACGCCUUUGUCAACCUUGAUCCCGACGACCCCUCCCUUGGCCUUGAUGACCUGAGGGAAGGGGCGGCCGUCGUCGGCCUUCUGGUAGAGGGUCUCAUGGAAGAGGAUGACUCCGCCGAUGCACGGAUCCACGCGGUUGUCGGCCGUGAACAGCAGCUGGCGGUACCAGCGCCGGUUCUCCUCCGUGUUCUCCGCCCCCACCGAGCUCAGCCGCUUGGCGAUGCUGCCGGUGGACUCAUCAGCAGCCAGGAUGCCUUUGCCCGGCGCCACGAUGCGCUUGGCGAUGUCGUGCAGCUCCUGCUUCUGCUCCGGGGUGAGCGCUGGGUACUGGUGAGGCAUGGCGGCGAUGCUACUGGGCAAACUGGGAGCACUCCGCCUGUGGCCGUUCGCCGGGCUGUGUGUGUGAUAG